AAUAACUCCUGUGGUGGCAGUUCAGUGCAGUUGUGUACGUUCCCAUGGUUUGCGGCCCAUCUUCUCCAUUUGGCACGGUUGCUAUGAAAGUGGGACGUGGGUAGAAUGCAGUUGCCCAGUGGUCUUAUAUAAUAUAGAGACCCUUGCAUCCAAAUAUUCUCCUCCAUACAUCUUUCCUUUUGUAGCAGAUAUGAUAUAUGCACAGAAUUAAACACACCGAUGGUACCGCGUUCUUCGAUUGCGAUCUCAAACCUACAUUCAAGCUUUCUUCAUUCAAGAUCUGCUUCACAUACCUUUUCUUCUUCAACACUCGAGUUUCGUGGUCGGUGGUCAAUUGGUGUGUAAUUUUGUUUGUGGUCUUAUCCCGUUGUUUAGCGGAUAUGUAGCUUCGAAUCUGAGUGAUACUCUCAGAAACUUGCUAAGCAUGAGUUAUGGUAGCACAAAGUGGCAAGUCUCUUUCAGACAGAUAUAUAUUAUUAUGCUUCUUGAAAUUAGUUCAUGAUUUCAUGCUUUUAUGGAACUAUAAUCCUGAUUUCAUGUUGAUGAUAAUAUUGAAAUAAUAGGGUGGAAUUAUAUAUAUGUAUCUACUGAUCAUGAUUAGAGAUUUAUGCUUGUCUUUUUGUCUUUUGGUGUUAAUUAAUUGUUCAAUGUACUAACUAUAAUUAGUUUUUUUGGUUAGGAUGAUGAAGAAGAAUCUUUGGGAACUAAAAGAACAGGCGCUUCUCGAAAUGCUACAGGCUCUAAGAGAAGCCGAGCUGCAAACAAAUGCUAAAAGUCAAGAAAGUCUUGAAUUGUGAAGUCGAUAAUUUCCACAUUAGAUAUACCCAGAUGGGUUUUUGGUGAAAUCGAUCAAAAAGAGAAUCUUGGUUUCGUCAAUUCAGUCUUCACUUUCACCGUUGAAACCACUCAAAACUGAAACGAUGAGAUGAAGCAACCACCGACACCACAAGAACCAGAGACGAAGUAUCAUGAUCCUCCUCUUUGUUCAAAAUCUCCAAUAUUUUAUCCGAAAAUCAUAACAAUCAAAAAAUCCCCUGAUCACUCUCAAGAUAACAAAUGUUAUUCCAUGCUAAUAAUGGUUUUGAGGUAGGUGGUUGUUCAAUGAAGCACCCGAAACCUCACAUAAGGUUUGAUAAUUAGAAGCUUGAGUAUCAGGUGCAUCAUGGAUUUUUUAUUGCUUACAAUAAUACAAUUAUGCGUUCAGGAAUUCUUGAUGGUGUCAGUAGAGCAAAAGAGGCAUAUGGAGAUCUCAAAAUUAUGGUGACUGGGCAUUCAAUGGGAGGUGCUAUGGCGGCUUUUUGUGGAUUGGAUCUUGCGCUUAUUUAUCGAUCAAAGAACAUCCAAUUUACGACAUUUGGCAUGCCAAGAAUCGGCAAUGCUGCUUUUGCAUCGUAUUAUAGCCAAGCUGUACCAAAUACGUUUAGAGUGACACAUGGACACGACCUCGUCCCGCAUCUGCCUUCUUAUUAUCAUCAUUUCCCACAGAAGAAAUAUCAUCACUUCCCAACAGAGGUAAUCUUGCUUGACUUUUAGCAUUUGUUUGUCCAAACGGUUCGCGUCGAAACGGUAUGAAACUCGUCCGAACAGGCGCUUCUCGAAUGCCUUCGGGCGGGUGGAGGUCGGGUUUCCGCGCAUCUGGGAGAGCCAAGGGGCUGGUGGCAGUCGAGUAGUCGACCUUGGCCACAGCGCCUGGUGUCACAGUGGUUGGCACGUCGUUCCUUGCCGUUCAAAAAAGAGGCCAAGUUACUGAUAGCCAUAGCUUUGCUAAAAGGAUGAGGUAUAGAAAAUAAGUGAAAAGAUGAAGCUGCUACAAUCCAGUGUUCUAGGUUGUGACAAGGUACAAAGGAAUUCUUCACAAUGAUCAUGUACUUGCAAUCAAAAGAACUCGACGGGGAUCGUUAGAGGGUGCACAAGAAUUUAAAAACGAUAUAAAAAUUAAUGUCGAGAAUCCCUUCAAUUCACAGCCUGACUCACAUGAAAAACUAGAAGAAACCAAGUUGUCAAAAUCAUCCACAAGACGACCAGCAUUUUUGUAUAGGUUGAAGGUGACAUUCAGGUCCUUGUCCCAUUAGUUGCAGGAAAAAAGUGUAAUGAGAGAAUACAAGGCAAGUGACUCAUUCAUACCCACAAUUAACAUUUUGUAGAUCUUGAUAUUGGAAUAGUGUACUUGUAUGUUCUAGGGUGUAACAUUAUUCUCUUAUCUUCCAAUUUAAUGAAUACAAAUAAUAGUCAUUCUUUUGUAA